UACGUAGGUGGCGAGCGUUGUCCGGAUUUACUGGGCGUAAAGAGCGCGCAGGCGGUCGUUCAAGUCGCGUGUGAAAGCCCCCGGCUCAACUGGGGAGGGUCACGCGAUACUGAUCGACUCGAAGGCAGGAGAGGGAAGUGGAAUUCCCGGUGUAGUGGUGAAAUGCGUAGAUAUCGGGAGGAACACCAAUUGCGAAGGCAGCUCGCUGGGACGUAACUGACGCUGAGACGCGAAAGCGUGGGGAGCAAACAGG
rnacentral:rRNA from 1 species